GACGAACGCUGGCGGCGUGCCUAAUACAUGCAAGUAGGACGCAGUUGCGAACGGGUGAGUAACGCGUCUGUCACUGCCUCUUAGAGGGGGAUAACUAUUUGAAACGAUAGCUAAUACCGCAUACUCGUAGAUGGACCUGCGUUGUAUUAGCUAGUAGGUAGGGUAAUGGCCUACCUAGGCGACGCUACAUAGCCGACCUGAGAGGGUGAUCGGCCACACUGGGACUGAGACAAGGCCCAGAGUCCUACGGGAGGCAGGAGUAGGGAAUCUUGGGGAAUGGGGGGAACCCUGACCGAGCAACGGCGCGUGAGUGAAGAAGGUUUUCGGAUCGUAAAGCUCUGUUGUUAAGGAAGCGGUACUUAACCAGAAAGGGACGGCUAACCACGUGCCAGCAGCCGCGGUAAUAC
rnacentral:rRNA from 1 species